AAAUUCUAUGCCAUACAUCUAUAUUGAUUUAUAAGAGUCUGCAGUAUGUAUCUGGUAGGAGUAUUGAAUGGUUGCUAAAUCUCCACCCUAGCCAAUUGAUUUAAGCAGUGCUCAAUAAAGUGUUCUAAUAAUUGUUUGUUCAAUAAUUAAUAGGACUAGGAGUAUCCUUGCUUGAUCAGUUGUAUUUUUAGUGCUUGUGCCAGUUUGGGUCAAAACUUAUUUUUAGUAGAAUUGUUUGCUUGCCACUGAGUUUAGUUUACUCAAGAAAUUGUACAAGAAAGUGUUUCAUAAAUUUUACUUGGUAUGCUGCUCUUUUUUAGUAAUUACUUGAAUUUUAGUUAGAGGCCACAUAAACUGUCUUCAAUUGAAUUUUCACUGUCAUUUGGUGUACUCAAACUGAAACACCUCCAGGACAGGUGCUUUUCAAUACUGUCAUGAACAUACUUUAUUCUCCGCAUAAGCACAUGAUGAAGUUUGUACUAUGUUUGGUGCCAUCGGAGGUUACGAAAUAUUGCAUGGCAAUACUUUCCACUAUUACUGGUUUUUAUCUGUCGCCUGCUAUUUUUCAUGGCUACAAAUUUAAUAACUUGUACCGCUACAAUGUAGGAUGUUGAUUUUUUCUAUGGAUAUGAAUUCUCGCGGCGCUACUGAAAUCUUCUUAAAAAUAUGUUACCUUUGAACCGGUCGUAGAGCCAGAUAAUAUUGCUCCUUUACUAUGCAGAUAUGAACUUGAUCAUUUACAUGGUGUGUUUGAUGUCUUUAAACUUGAUCUGCAAUUAGCUGCGGUUUCGUUGAAAUGUAUUGACAUGUCAAUUAUUUCUAGACAAGCGCUAUCAAUCUUUUACGCAUUCAUGAAAAUUCUGGCAAUAUACGUUGGUCCAUAUAGGCUAAGUAUCCAUUUUUUCUCAUUGCCUUCAUUUGUUCAUUCUGCUUUAGACUAUUGUGGCAGCAGGUACAGUACCGAUGCUUCAGACUAUUCUACAAAGUUAACUUUCAUCACCAUACACAGGUAUGCACAGUCGGUUGCCAUCUUCUUAUGCUUGUAAGCUGAGUCAUGUAAUCAGGUUGAUGCAUAGUGGUACUACCUUAGAUACAACCUGUAUUGUAUGCAUAAAAUUGAAAUACGUGUACAUGUUAAGCAUCAUCUGUAUGGGUACAUACAUCACGUACAAGUUUAAAGUUGAAUGCAUCAAGCAAGCAAUCGGUUCAAUUAUAUAGUGUUGUUAACAUUACGUACAUAUAAUUUGGAUCCAAUUAUUAAGAUUUUUUUGUUAUGAACUUUUCAAGUUUAUAAAGCUGGAGACAUCAGAGACAUCAAAUAAUCUUACUACACAUGGUCGAAGAACAAGGAGGCUGCUGGCCCCACCGGUAACGGGAUUCAUUAGACAGAAGAACUAUUUUUGGCUGCUGGCCGACCUGGGUGGCGAUGAGCGGCGGAAGAAGGGGAGAAACACGCUUAUGAUGAAGGUGCGUGUCAAGCUUCUCCAUCUCCAUGUAAAUGGAUGACCUCCAUGACAAGAGAUGCGGUCAGGGGAUGAAUGUUUUAAGGAAAACGACCCGGACUAUGGGUUCGUAACAUCCAUGCGCUAUAGUUAAAUUUGUACAUCCUAAGAAACGUGCGGACCACAAUGAAAUUGGCCUUGAAGCAAAUUCAUUCAUUUUCAAGAUCAUUGUUGGCGUGUACCAGACUGCGCCACAGUUGAAUUAAACGUAUCGCUACCAUUAAGAUAUAUUAGGAUGGCACUAUGGCAGUUAGUGGUCCAUUAUCUAUAGAGGAUUUUCUCUACAGAACAAUGUUCGUUCACAUUCCAGGGGGAUUAUGUGGAUCGGCUCCUUCAUGCUCGGUUUCUAGGAGAGCACUUUAAGCCAGCAGUGUAUAUGGAACAUCGUUGGCAAGUUAGUUGUUAUAACCCUAGCAGUAAUGUAGUAUCCUCUGUAGUGGAAAGUGCUCAAAUGAUGAUAGUUAUUAUCUUCAUGUCUGCUACCAAUUAGAGAACUCUUGAUAUUGACCAUUCUAAUGGUGGCGAUCAGUGUACUUGUAUACUAAUUCAUUUGAGUAUGUGGAGGGCAACAAAACUAAAUUUAAUUGAUAUUUUGAAAAUUUCCAUUUGAAGGCUCACAUACUUUUUCCUACUGCAGUUCAGAUAUUCAGCAAACAUCCUUCGUCCAAUGUUCCCUCAGAUGCUCUCCUCAUUUUGCUUCUUAUGAUGUUCUGAUCUGAGUACACGUGGUCUUUUGUAGAUCGAUGAGCUUCUGAAUGAAAGGAAAUGUUAUCCAUGCAUUCUAUACAAAUAAUACUUCUCUAAAACGGAGUUUGAGCAGGAGAAAAUUGAAUCCAACAUCAAAAAAGUUCAAUUUUGAUGAAGAAAAAAUCAGAGGAAAGAGAAGAAAGUGAAGGAUCAGUCCAUGGAGAGAUGUGGAAGUUAAGAUUACAAUUCAAGUGAAAAAAAAACCAAGAGAAUCCUGAGGUGGCGACAUCCUGAGCCUGCAGCCCCCUGAUCUGAGUUCUCCCGUAUGUGCAGAGGACAAGUCGAGUGUGGAACAUGCAAUUUCGAAAUCCGGAGGAUGUUAAAUAUGCUCAAGGUCGCUACUGAUAUGAUGGGUCUGUGCAUCGAACUAACAAAGUAAUUGUUGUGUUGCCCUUUUAAUUUUGUGAAGGGCAAAUCAACAUGAGAGAAUACUAAAUUGUGCUUGUGUGAGUGCCCUGCGAUGGCACAGAGUCAAGCAUAGACUUUUGGUGAAAAGGUAUUUUGGCCAUCACACAAGCACAUAGAUAUGCACACCAGGGAUGUUGUCCAUCAGCUCCGGAACAGCAACAUAUAUCAAUUGAGAAAGUGGACAACA